GGUGAACGCUGGCGGCGUGCCUAAUACAUGCAAGUCGAGCGAACGGACGAGAAGCUUGCUUCUCUGAUGUUAGCGGCGGACGGGUGAGUAACACGUGGAUAACCUACCUAUAAGACUGGGAUAACUUCGGGAAACCGGAGCUAAUACCGGAUGAUAUUUUGAACCGCAUGGUUCAAAAGUGAAAGACGGUCUUGCUGUCACUUAUAGAUGGAUCCGCGCUGCAUUAGCUAGUUGGUAAGGUAACGGCUUACCAAGGCAACGAUGCAUAGCCGACCUGAGAGGGCGAUCGGCCACACUGGAACUGAGACACGGUCCAGACUCCUACGGGAGGCAGCAGUAGGGAAUCUUCCGCAAUGGGCGAAAGCCUGACGGAGCAACGCCGCGUGAGUGAUGAAGGUCUUCGGAUCGUAAAACUCUGUUAUUAGGGAAGAACAUAUGUGUAAGUAACUGUGCACAUCUUGACGGUACCUAAUCAGAAAGCCACGGCUAACUACGUG
rnacentral:rRNA from 1 species